AUAUAUAUAGUUUCAGAUUGGGUAAAAUGGUGGGUCAAACGUCCAUUUUACCGCCGUAUUGUUGGGUCUUUAGUCGAUUGUCGGGUCCCAAAGUCGAUUAUCGGGCACUUGGACCCGACAGUUGAAGACCCACUUAAUAAAAGGCUGCUUAACAUCCUCAUGACUAUUUUUUAAUUCAAAUUUGCGUAUGUAAUUUUACUCGAAUUGUCGGGCCUAUAUCUCCCAUUCGCAAACUUUAGAUCAAACUCCUCACGGCAGUUACUUCCCUUGGGCAUCUUCUAGAAUAAGGGAGGCCACUGAGCCCUUUUCGGAAAGUCGCAUAUCUCCCCUGAGUAUUCUCCGGAAUUGGAGGUUCUCAAUCGCUGGCAUUCGGUACCCCUCGCAGAUUAUCAUAAUACUUAUCCGAUGUUUGACGGAAAGGGCCGAGAAUGUGCGAUUGAAUCGCUGGGUAGUAUUGAUUUCCAGUAACAAUGGCGUCGAAUGAGAAAGAAAACGAUCGUUAUCUGUCUGACAUCGAAAUUGACAAAUUAAGUGUUGCACAAUUGAAGGAUUAUUUACGAUUUCAUAAUCAUUAUGUGUCAGGGAAUAAGAAUGAACUUGUCUUGAGGACAAAAGGCGUACAAAAGCUAGGAUUAAAUGAUCGACAGCUGCACAGGAAUGCGGAAGUAAAUUAUGAAAAAAGGAAAACAGAAAAACUUUUUACGCCACUCGGUGAAAAGCUGCCACAUCCAGAUGUAUUAAAAACGUUGAGUAGUGACUUAAUGGACUUUCCUACAUUAAUAGAUAGUGACAUCUACAAUUAUUUUGUGCUGAAAAUGAACACACAAAAACAAUUGAGAUCAAAAAAUUGUAUUAUGUUUACAGACAUAAACACAGUAUUUUGUACCAUGACAUAAGUGACAAAUGGGAACAUUGUUUUGUUAAAUGCAAAGUAUUACCAUCACUACCGAGUGCAAAUGUGAAAGAAAACCCAGAUCACAGUGUGUGGCUCUGUCUGUCAAAGGUCACUGGACAGGUUCAUUCAGCGGAAUGUAAUUGCACAGCCGGGAGCGGAGAAGCAUGUAUCCAUAUUGGUGCAUUUAUGUAUGCCCUUUCUGAUCUCACUGCUAAAAAGAAGGACGGCACUCUAAGAUCAACCUCAAAAAAAUGCGUGUGGGACAGAUUUAAUAAUCCCCGGAAAAGAAAGCGAACGCCUAAAAAGUCUAGCGAAUUUACAUUUCGGAAACAUACCUUUGAGUCAAAAUUAGAGCCAGUCGAAAAUAACACCAGAAAAGAACUUCUUGCGAUUUCUGUAAAUGAGAACAGUUUCCGUUCAAAACUCGAAAAUAUGCAACCCAACAGCUGGAUGGCUUUUGAACUUUGUAGAAGAGAAGGAAGAGGUGAAAUUACCAAAGUUUAUAGAAAUUGGAUAUAACUUUAGUGAUAGCGUAGAUCUGAAUAGUGAAACUGUGAAGGAUAAAAUGUCGAAAAUGAUGGAUAUGCUACAAAUGGAUGAACUUGAAUGCCAAAGUAUUGAAAAAUUAACCAGAGGUCAGGGAAAGAACGUACUUUGGGAAGAUGAAAGAAAAUUACGUGUAACUGCAUCCAAUUUUGGUGAAGUAAUUUUACUGAAACAAGAGACUGAAAGAUUUAAAAGAAAUUGAGUGCAAUCUUUAAAGAAUAGUAACAAAUAUGAAUUUAAGAUCACAAUUGUGAAUUUCUCGCAAGCUUACCCUUGCUCCUAGAAUAUGUUUUUAUAAUUUUGAUGUCUCACUUUUCUCUAGAGAUUAACCCUUUACUUCUUAAAUAUGUAUUUUCAAGCUUUUGUAGUUCCUUAAAAAGUUAAAUGUAAUAAAGUACCUUUAUUACUAAAUUUAAGUUUUAAAGGCUUCAUUUCCAACCCUUAAAUACUGAUGAGCAGCAAACAGUAUAAAACCUGAACAGACUGCGAGUUACUAGCAUGCUGUUCUGGUUUUAUGCUGUUUUCACUGUGCUUCCAAGUGGAAUAGGGUUAAAUAACAAAAGUUAACGCCAGAUCAGAAAAUAAUUUAAGUAACAACAGUACAGGACAUCAUUGAGGUCCCUCCUUUUUUAUGUUUCAAUAGUCAUUUAGCUCUACAAAGCAUAUAAAUAUUGUACAUAAAAGUGUAUGAAUGUAUAAAUAUUUAUCAACUGUUCAUAUUAUGAAUUUUACAGUAGUACAUGUAGAAUGCUUUUCAACGAUUUGUGUACGGUUCAUUAAUACCAUCACAACGUGAUUGUCAAUUGUUAUUCCGCUAAAUUGAUUUGCUCUUAAAAUGAUAAAUCAUAAAAAGAACUUUUGCUAUGUUAUUAUCCAUCACUUAUUACCUUACCUGUGUUUGGAGAAAAACCGAAGGGUUUACGAUAAUAAUCUGUUUCAAAAUGUUAAAAUGAUAUGAAAUUAAUGAGUGGCAAGCAUGAACCAAAUUAAGAAAAUCAACACAGAGGUAUCAACAGCUGCAUCUUAUUAAAAAUCUGUGCACAAUGCUUUUUGUCCAAGUAUAGAUCAUUUCAGAACCCCAUUGAGUUAAUAGACACCUUGGAAGCUUUGCUGGUAUGACUUCUGCUUUACAUCUGACAAGUACUCUGCAGGUGUUGCUACUUGUAUCAGAAAUCUUGGUUUUAAACAAGAGCUGUCACCAUAGGAUGACUUAUGCCCCCUAUAUACGCUUGAUAGAAGUUAUGAGCAUUUUCCCAAACCUAAAUGCAUAUUUCGAAACCUAAACACGGACCCUAAGUUUAAGGUCAAGGUCACAGGGGUCAAAGUUUGUGUGCAUAUGGAAAGGCCUUGACCAUAUACACAUGCAUGCCAAAUAUGAAAAUGCUAUCUGAAGCGACAUAGAAGUUAUGAGCAUUUUUCGAAACCUAAACGCAAAGUGUGACGGACAGACCGACAGACAGUCCGAUCACUAUAGCGACAUAGAAGUUAUGAGCUUUUUUCGAAACCUAAAUGCAUAUUCGAAACCUAAACGCGGACCCUUAGUUUAAGGUCAAGGUCACAGGGGUCAAAAUUUGUGUGCGUAUGGAAAAGCUUUGUCCAUAUACACAUGCAUGCCAAAUAUGAAAUUGCUAUCCAAAGCGACAUAGCAGUUAUGAGGAUUUUUCGAAACCUAAACGCAAAGUGUGACGGACGGACAGACCGACAGACAGUCUGAUCACUAUAUGCCCUCCUUCGGGGGCAUAAAAAUUCUUGACGGGUUUAUUGCUCCCAAUUAUAAAUUAACUGUUGAUUAAGUCUUCAGUAGCAGUACUAAACCUUAAAGACAAACAUUUACUUAGGUAUACAAAAGAAAUCUGUGUUUUCAACGCUCUGUGUCAAUUAAUGUAUGUAAACUUGAAUCCAGUACAAUAUUUAUCAGAAUUUCAGUCUUAUAAUUUGUUUGGUCUUACAAAACUGCUUUCAAGCAAGAAAACAUGUAUAAAUAUAUUGGCACAAACACACAAACGCAGAAACACAAUUUUCUUUUUUUGCCUGAAAAUGUUUGUAUGGAAUAUGAGACAAGAAAAUAAUAAUCAGUAACAAUUUUAUUUUCACAAAUGAAAGCUGACUGUAAAAUGUGAAAUUAAGUAUUAUUCACAUAAUUACAUAGUAUAUUACUUAUACAUACAUGCAAUGGUCAAACACUUCUAGUUAAAUUGUAUACUGAAUUUCUCACAAAGUUCACUUGUUCAGCUUCUUAUCAAACUUAAUUUGUACUAGUUUUAAGGAGCCACUUUUCCAGUUUAUAUUAGCAUGACUAUUUUCAGUUUAUAAACACACUUUAUUUUCCGGGGACAGGUUUUUCGUGCUAACCCUGCUUUCAUUCCAACACUGACCUCAUCAAAUAAACACUCAAAAGUUCCAGCAGUUGGGAUACCAGUGUAGAACAACACCUUAUCGUCAUCAUCCCUUAUAUCCUCAAAGGUGAAGCUAGGCCGAUCCACUUGUAUCCCAACUGUCGACGUUUCAGUAGAAGUCUGGGUUGAUAUACUUCUGGGAACUCUCGUAUCGUCGGUUUGAGUAACCACAGAAAUCAGCUCCGGUUGCACUUGUUCACACUGAUGACGGAUUAUGGCGGGUACUGGUGUAAACCUUCCAUAGUCAUGGAGCUGAAAUAAAUAAAUACAUUUUUACAAGCAAAGUAAAUGCAGUUUGAAGUAAAGAUUAUAGGUCUUUCUGUAUUUUACUAAGGCAUCACCAAACUGAUAACUUCUUCAGUUUUUUUCUUUAAAAAUGGGAAGAGCAUGAAAAACAACUAUCUAUUUAUACUGCCAAGUGCCCUUUCGAGCAUGGUAGGCAGACAUGGACAUUAUCGAGUCGGUUUCCUGGGAAGAACCAGUACUUGGUGUCCAUGGAGGAGAUAAUUAGAAUGCUUCCCAAGUAAGGAGUGAACCCACUAACACCCGAUCGCUAGGCGGAUAUCUCAUCCACUACAACACCGCGACCUUGAACUACAAAUAUUUUUUUAUGUCCCCCACUAUAGAAGUGGGGGACAUAUUGUUUUUGCCCUGUCUGUUGGUUGGUCUGUUGGUUGGUUGGUUUGCGCCAACUUAAACAUUUUGCAAUAACUUUUGCUAUAUUGAAUAUAGCAACUUGAUAUUUGGCAUGCAUGAGUAUCUCAUGGAGCUGCACAUUUUGAGUGGUGAAAGGUCAGAGGUCAAAUAUAUGUGGCCUAAAUUGCUCAUUUUAUGAAUACUUUUGCAAUAUUGAAGAUAGCAACUCGAUAUUUGGCAUGCAUGUGUAUCUCAUGGAGCUGCACAUUUUGAGUGGUGAAAGGUCAAAGUCAAGGUCAUCCUUCAAGGUCAGAGGUAAAACAUAUUUGUCCCAAAUCGCUUAUUUUAUUAAUACUUUUGAAAUAUUGAAGAUAGCAACUUGAUAUUUGGCAUGCAUGUGUAUCUCAUGGAGCUGCACAAUUUGAGUGGUGAAAGGUCAAGGUCAUCCUUCAAGGUCAAGGUCAUCCUUAAAGGUCAAAUAUAUGGGUCAAAAUUGCUCAUGUAAUGUCACUUCUGCAAUAUUGAAGCUAGCAAUUUUAUAUUUGAAAUGCAUGUGUAUCUCAUGGAGCUGCACAUUUUGAGUGGUGAAGGGUCAAGGUCAUCCUUCAAGGUCAAACAUUAUUUAGGGGGACAUUGUGUUUCACAAACGCAUCUUGUUUCAAAUUAUCUUUAUUCAACAACAUUUUGUAUAACGAUAAAACAACUCACUCUUAGAGAUACGUCUAGUAGUGAUGCACUGCUUUCAACCAACAAACCAUCUGCCUCGUUCUCGAAACUCAAGUCUGGUGAACGGUUAUCUGACAUUUCCUCAGUUUCUGGUGUGGAAUUCGUCUCAUCUGCUUCAGGGCCAUUUUCCAGAGUCUGUAAGGUAAACAAAUAAAAUUAAAUCAGCACAUCAAAGACCUAGAAAUACACAUACUUUUUCAAACUAACAUGAAAGAAUGAUGUUCAGAUACGUAAUAUUUAUGCUUCUGUAUCAUGUUGUAAACACCGUCAGAUUCUAUACCGAUAGAGUAACUGACCCAUGUUCAUUCUUGAAACCUCGUAUAGCCUAGUGGCAACAUAUCCGCUUCAAAAUAUCAGAUACCAUUGGUUCGAUCCUCGGCUGUGAGCUACAUAAAAUAAAUCAUGAACUGUGCCAUGGGUAUGUCUGCCAUUAUCCCAUGCUUGAUUGUACCACAAGGAAUCACUGAUUUGAAUAGUAAGCUCGAUUUAAUAAUCCAUCGGAAUCGUUUUAAGGUGAUAAUCUGAUUACACGCAGUGCGCAAUCUGAUUAUGUGAUGACUUAAAUUAGUAUAAGUAUUAAUAUGAUUUAAUAAGAAUAGUAUAUGUGCCUUUUAUACACGCGUUCAAUGCCAUAAUACCGGUAAAAUCAUAAGUUGAUUUAGAUAUCAGUACAUUAAAUAAAUGUCUAUAUAUUAUAAUCAUACAAUACGCAAUUUUACAAUGCCGAAGUAAUGUUAUUUACUGAAAUAAGAUCUAUUUUCGCAUGACACUGGCUGUAUAGCAAGUAGUCUUAUAUAAAUAAGAGCAACAUUACUUCAAGCACGUACACUUAACAAAAAGAGUUCUCCGUUUAAAAAUGAUGGUAUUAAGGUGUUACUAAAUAUAAAAUACCCAACAGCGGGCGAGCGUUUAAUGCACUUUGCGCUUGAUGAAUAAUGUUAUACAAUUAUUAUGGGCAAAUUUAUAAUUUCAAAACAUUAUUAGUUGUUGAUGUUAUUCGCGUUCAAUAAAUACAUCAGUUCUUCUUAUCAACCUGAUGCCUGUUGCCUGCUACAGUUUCUUAUCAUAAUUGUAUAAACUACAAUACACCAUCAGCGGCCGAGAGCAGAAUACCGGCCGCUAAAUAAAUUGUGACUUGCAUCAAAUCUCAGGUCAAAUUUCGAUUGUUUUACAAUAAAAUACUAAUAUUUUAUAAUGUCAAGCACGUGCACUUAAUAAAAUACGAUAUGUCUUUAUUUAUUGUAGAAUUUUGCAAAAGUAAAGCGCUUUAUAUAUAGCAAUGUUUUAUUAUUUCUUUCUAGUUACGUAAAUAAACAAAACAUAAUUAUGUAUAUAACAUUUAAUAUUUGUACAUAAUUUAUAAAAAUAAAUACAAUGAAACGUGAUGUUUGUGAAGUGCGCGUGACAUUGAACUUCGAGUUAAGCGAAAGAUGCGAAUUAAAUUACACAUAAUUAAAAACUGAUACUAUUCUGUCAGCAUGUUUUAUACUCCAUCGCGCCAAUAAAUUCAUCAAAUUGUGUAUACAAGCAAAACGAUGGAAAUUAUGACAGAAACCCAGCUUUUCAAAUAAAAUGACCCUUAACAUAACGCUAGCAGACCCGAAUGAAUAUACUUUAUUUGAGUCGUGUUCUGAGAAAACUGUGCAUAAUGCAUGUGCUUAAAGUGUCGUCCCAGAUUAGCCUGUACAAUCCGCACGAAUUAUCAGGGACGGCACUUUCCGCUUUUAUGACAUUUUUCGUUUAAAUGAAGUGUCUUUUUAGCAAAAAUCCAAUUUAGGGUCGACACUUUACGCACAUGCAUUAUGCCCAUUAUUCCCAGAACGCGACUCAUUUAAUCCAAUCAGGUAAAUAACAAAUACAAUAAUAAAACAGGGGAAGUCUACACUGUGUAUUAGCAACCUGCUGUGGUGAAUAUAUCUUAUCAGCUAAAUACACAGGCACCUGGCUACUGUACUGGAAAAAUUGGAUUUACUGCCAAAAUAAUUGAUUUCAUUUAUGGCUAAAUUGUUGUGUACAUGUAAAAUUAAAAACGAGGAUGUAUCCACAUCACCGUUGCACAUUGUUAUUAAUUUCACAGUUAUCUGUUCUUUAUUAGAGAUAGCCUAAUUAAAGACGGCGCUAAUAAAAUGUGAAGGUGGAUAUAAAGAAAUAAGGUCAAUUUCCGCACUGACAGUAUAGCAAGUAGUCUUAUAUAACAUAUUAAAAAUAUUCCAUGGUUAAAAAUGCACGAUGUUAUAUAGUAAAAGAGUGUGUUUGAGUAAUCAAUAGGAUAUUUUGUAUUGGCUAUAUUGUUUCACUCGUAAAGAAAAUACCAAAAUCGACGUGCGAAACGUAAAAAUUUAUAUCUGAAAUAAUAUUGUUAAGGGCGUUAAGCUAGUUAAAAAUAAUCACGAUUAUUUACUAUGUAUAAAUUAGAUAAAACGUUAAGAUGUAAAUUCUUAUCAUAAAUAUAAAAUGCACAUAAUAUUAUAAUAUUCAUUCAUAUUUCAUUAUUUCAGGUAAAAGUACAAACAUAUUGUUUUAAAUCCUAUGUAAUCAGCACUUUAUGUUGGAUUUCAACAAUGCUUAAUUAAUUAUCGGGUGUAGCAGCGGUGUACAUUACCCAUAUGAUAUAACGCAAAGGUAACGGUCAAGCGACUUCCCACAUUUAUAUGACAUGUUUUAUUAUCGUUAUCAGGUAUCUGUUAUGUGUCAACGGAUUAACGGACAUUGGUUGAUUACCCGAUAAUAUGCAAGUAUCAAAUGAUUUAGAUUCAUAAGUUAUGGGAAAACAUUAUAUGCCUGACCUGAAAAAUGUAAGUCAUAACAAAUAAUUAUAUUAUAAGUUCACUUACCAGAAUCACAACCUAAGUGUUGCCAUCGCUCGCAGGCAUCGCAAGAAACAGCACGUUGCCUCUGCCCAACUGUCUUUCCACAAUGUAUGCACUUUACCACUUCUGCCAUUGCAGAAACACAAAACUCACUUACUCUCACAGUAAAAUUAUUGUAUCCUACAUUUAAGAAGCACAAAUGUUUGAAAUAUUUAUAUAAAUUAGUUCAAUUUAUGAUUCACUGUGUGUGUUUCAGAGUUUAUUUACAGGUCCUACUGGCCUCUUCACGAGGUUAUGGUAGCCCGACCUGCCCCUGUGACCUCUCAGGGGAAAAAGAUUAAUUUAGAGCCAAAGUAGGUCAAAUUUACCCCGGCUUCCCGGGUAUUCGCCAAAUAAUUUAAUUUUAAAGAGAGUUUCGUGCACGUUGGCCAAUGAGACCUUAAUGUGUUAUUUACCGUAAGGUGGUGAUGAGGUGCGGAUCCCGCCGAGUGUCCCGCACACUACUUAUGUACAAGACACUCAACGCGACCCACAUACCAACACCACUCGGUAAGUAAGACCCGGAAUACACACACAUAACGCUCUCACAACCCCCCACUCAUAACGGGUGAUGUGUAUGAGAGUGCCACGCCCAUGUGUUCCGGGUCCCUUGAUGUUGAUCUGUGUAUGGUUGUGUAUAGUAUGUGGUAUGUGAUUGUUGUGCAUUUGUCUGGAGCGGAAGAGGAGAUGUCUGUCGGUUAUUUACGGUCGUCGGUCAGUCGUGAAGGGCUGUAUAUCGUUGCAGUUCCCAGAUCGCAGAACACGCCGCCCCCGCACAAGCGCACCCACGCCGAGCGAGCCCGAGCCCCCCCCCCCCCGCGCCCGCAUACGGCCCCGGCCCUAGCACCCAACCGCUGAAGACCCUCGAGACAAGCACCCUCAUCCACCCUCUCGCUGCGCGCGACAACAGAUCAGUCAAGAACCAACCAUGGAGCCCCCCAAAGCCCCACCCGGAGUCACCAUCGUUCUUUCCCACCCACCUGCCAAACAUCCAGACCAUGUAUCAAGCUGGGAUGUAUUUAUUUUGUAGUUAUGUUAUAUUUGCUAUUAUAAUUGGAUAGGUAAAGUAAAUAAAUGAUCUCAAAAUGCCGUUGUUAUAUCAUAUGAUUUAUUUAUGUUUUAUAUUAAUUUGUAAAACUCAUAGUAUUAUAGUUUAUGUCCCGUAUUCUAGCUUUCAUUUACCCAAGUGUGGUUAUUGUGCUCUCCGCCCCAUGAGAGGUGUUAGUGGGGGUUCGAGCAGGAUACAGGAAACGCCCCGAUUCCAGAGGCGCCCCUGGUUCUUUUAAGUGCCCGGUGUAUAGCACCGAUACACUGCACCCCCGUUUAACGUCUCUCGCGGAGGACAUAUUAGUACAUAGUGUUAGUAUCGGUACUUAUAUACAUGUGUAGUUCUGCUGUCUUGUGUCAUAUCUUACGGUAACGUGGGCUCUCUCUGUUGCUAUUUGGUAUAUAGUUUGAAUGUUAUUGCGAAGGGCAGGCUAGUUUUUGAAAGAUCAUGUAUUUGAUGAUAGAAGAAAGGGACUAUGUUUGUUUGAUUGGGCCGAUGACUAGUUCGUUGGGGGUAGAAAAUUUCUUUGUAAAUUCUUUCUUAUUGCUGUGUUAAGUGUCUUGUGAGACUGUGGUGUUGUAAGGGCCAGACUAGUUUUGAUAGGUCAUUUAUUUGAUGAAAGAAGAGAGGGCUGAGUUUGAGAUGAUAGUAAAUUUGGUAUUAGGGAGAGCGCACACGUUAGUGUUUCUGGUUAUAAAAGCAAAGACAGCAUUCCUAUGUGUUUUUGUAAUAUGCCAGGUUAGUAUCGUGGUCUGGUCUGGGGCAUAUGAUUCACUGAAAACUGCCCGCUUUAUAUACAGACAGCCCUCUUAAAUGAUCAGUCGCCAAAUACGCAAUCGCUCCGCCCACUAAGUUGUGUUUUCAUAAAACGCUUAUUCCAUUACUCCGUAAGUCUUUGUUUGUCGGACCAUGUGGCCGCAAUAAACGAAAUCUGAUUGAUUAUUACGUGAGUUUGAUUGACAGCUGGCGAGUGGUCAAUUACUUUAAAAAGAGCAUUGUUGUCUGGUUAAGCUUGUUAAUAACCUUAUGUAGUCUUUUAUCACGCCAAACUGUGAUACCAUAUGUCUUACUCAUAAAUCUGUGUCCAGACAAUCAAAGCAUGUCGGCAUAAUUAAUUUUCAUCAACUCACACUUUUACAAAACAUAACUAACACAAAAGCAUUCAAUUAUUCUUCUAUAUUUAAACCAAACUAUCAUACAAUAUGUCUGAUUAAAAAAUCUUUGAACAGAAAAUGAAAGCAUGCCGUCAAAUUAAACGUCGUUUAACAUUUCACGCUUGUUCAGAUUUCAGGGGCGAAUUGUCUUGGGGUGAGAUUUCUUUGGGGCGAGUUGUCUGAUUCCCAUUCCGAAUGGACUUUGAAAGAAACGAACGACAACUUUGUAAGAAAACCCGCCAAUGGGGCUCGCGACCAAUCGGAUGGAUGCUAUGCCUGCUGGGAUAGCCAUGCUCUUUUUCGACGCGGACAGUGGACCCGACAUGACCGACUUAACGGACUCGACGUGACGGACUCGACCUAAUCAAUUUUCUUUAUUCUUAGACUUAAGUCUAAGAAUUGUUUGGUGAAUACGGGCCUAGCAGAUUCUUUUGUGCACGAGAUGCGGUCAAAAAGAAGAAAAGACGAAAGAACCAAUCCAGACUUGGUGGCAGAGGAAAGUAUAAAAAAGAAUGCAGAUCUUGGUGGAUUUUGUGUGGAUACAAUUCCACCUAAAGGUAGAGGAGUUAGAACAGAAGUUCAUAGAAACAAGGGCGACUUUCUCCUUACCUAUCAUGGAGAAUUAAUCACAGGAGAAGAAGGCAAUAAAAGAGAACUAAUGUCUGUCUCUGUCUUCAGAUUCUUCUUUUCUUUCAAAGGGAAGCAGUGGUGCAUCGAUUCUACCCUGGAAGUCAAAAGUGGUCAGUUCUUGGGUCGACUUGUUAAUCAUGGCAAAGGCAAAGAACAAAACUGCAAAAUGAAAUGCAUAGAGGGU